rnacentral:rRNA from 1 species
CACUUGGGAAUCUGCCCAGUAGUGGGGGACAACCAGAAGAAAUUCUGGCUAAUACCGCAUACGCACUACGGUGGAAAGUGGGGGACCUUCGGGCCUCACGCUAUUGGAUGAGCCCAAGUCGGAUUAGCUUGUUGGUGAGGUAAUGGCUCACCAAGGCGACGAUCAAUAGCUGGUCUGAGAGGAUGAUCAGCCACACUGGGACUGAGACACGGCCCAGACUCCUACGGGAGGCAGCAGUGGGGAAUAUUGGACAAUGGGCGCAAGUGAUCCAGCCAUGCCGCGUGAGUGAUGAAGGCCCUAGGGUUGUAAAGCUCUUUCAACGGUGAAGAUAAUGACGGUAACCGUAGAAGAAGCCCCGGCUAACUUCGUGCCAGCAGCCGCGGUAAUACGAAGGGGGCUAGCGUUGUUCGGAAUAACUGGGCGUAAAGCGCACGUAGGCGGAUUGGAAAGUUAGAGGUGAAAUCCCAGGGCUCAACCCUGGAACUGCCUUUAAAACUAUCAGUCUAGAGGUCGAGAGAGGUGAGUGGAAUUCCGAGUGUAGAGGUGAAAUUCGUAGAUAUUCGGAGGAACACCAGUGGCGAAGGGGCUCACUGGCUCGAUACUGACGCUGAGGUGCGAAAGUGUGGGGAGCAAACAGGAUUAGAUACCCUGGUAGUCCACACCGUAAACGAUGGAAGCUAGCUGUCAGAAUGUAUACAUUUUGGUGGCGCAGUAACGCAUUAAGCUUCCCGCCUGGGGAGUACGGUCGCAAGAUUAAAACUCAAAGGGAAUUGACGGGGGCCCGCACAAGCGUGGGAGCAUGUGGGUUUAAUUCGAAGC